rnacentral:lncRNA from 1 species
CCGAAGAAUCGGACGAAGCGUCGAGGGACCAAUGACAUGUCGGACAACUUGGUUAAUUGCUUAGGAUUAAUUGUCUCGAUCGAAGUUUUGUUUUGUUGUGCAGGAUUAACUACGAUAAGAGUAAGACAAGCAGCCAGGAGUUGCGCCGGAGUCAAGAUCAUGAUCACGUUGGGAGUUCGAGAGUUCGACGGAAGUUCGGACGGUCGUCGGAGGUUCAGAGAGAACAGAUCCGAGAAGUCCAGAAGCUUGCCAAGCGAAGCUCGUCGGAACUCGCCAAGUGGAUCGUCGCAAAGUCCAGGAGUAUGCCGGAUGUCCGCAGAAGGAUCACCGAAGGUUAUCGGUUGAUCGACGGAAGUUGGCCGGAAACUCGCCGGAAGAAGCGAUUGACGCAUCGGAGCAAAGCUGCAGAAGUUGUCUUAGAGAUAUUCGUAGUUAGCACGAUGAUUAAGCAUGAAAAUGGGAGGUGAUCCCAUUAGCUUAAUCUUGGGGCAAUUGGGCCCCUGAAAAGAUUCAAAGUGGGUCGAAUGGAGUGAACCAUUCGGACCCUGAUUGCACCAGGAGGUGCAACCGCCCCAGCCAGGAGGUGCAACCGCCUGGGCUGUGGGGUUGAGAGGUGCAACCGCCCCAGCCAGGAGGUGCAACCGCCAGGGUUGCAAGGCUGGGAGGUGCAACCGCCCCAGCCAGGAGGUGCAACCGCCAGGGUUGCAAGGCUGGGAGGUGCAACCGCUCCAGCCAAGAGGUUGCACCGCCAGAGCUCAAGUUCCGAGCUCUGCCAGGCGAUGCAACCACCGAGCUCAGUCUUCGAGCUCUGGCAGAGUGGUGCAUCAGCCUGAGCUCAGUCUCGAGCUUUGCCAGGUGAUGCAUUCACCAAGCUCAGUCUUCGAGCUCUGGCAGAAUGGUGCAUCAGCUUGAGCUCAGUUUGGAGCUCUGCCAAGUGAUGCAACCACCAAGCUCAGUCUUCGAGCUCUGCCAGGCGAUGCAACCAUCGAGCUCAGUCUUCGAGCUCUGGCAGAGAGAAGCAAUCGGCAGAGCUCAGUCUUCGAGCUCUGCCAGGCGGUGCCACCUCUCCAGUCGAGAGGUGCAACCGCCUGAUCCCAGAAUUCUGGGAUUUGAUCGAUUUGAUCGUUUUGAGCUCGAAUUUUGAAUUGGGUUGGGGCCUAUAAAUACCCCACCCAUUCAGCACUGAAAAGAUAACAGACCAAUACCGAAAUAUUGAUCUUUUCUGUGAUUCUAAGAGCUCAAAAGUGUUGUAAAGUCUUUAAGUCUCCUCCUUCUGUUCUUCAAGUUUUUGAUUGUAAAGUGAGGAGAGAAAGGUCUGUAAAGGUUGUCUCCUGAGCCUGUCAAAAGGAGAGAAACUGUAAAAGGGCAGUUAGCCUUCACCCAUUGAAGGAAGGCCCCUAGUUGACGUCGGCAACCUCGUCGGUGGAGGAAGCCAAAAGUGGAGUAGGUCAAGGCUGACCGAACCACUCUAAAUCUCUGGUUUGCGUUUAUUUUCGAGCACUUUAUCAUUACUGCAAACCUCCUUCAUUGCUACUGCUCUCUGCGCUUUCACGAACAAAUUCUAAGUGCUGUUCUUCCAAAUCUGCAUUCAGACGUAAAUUCGUAUUUUCGUACAUUACAGUUUACGUUUACGUUUGAUUCUGCAGAACUGUCUUCCGUGCUUUUACGAACGAGUUUCUUUGCAGUUUACGCUUACAUUUUAAUCCUAUUAAUAACUGCAAUCUGUCCUCUAUGAUCUUACGAACGAGUUUCAACAUUUAGACGCAAAACUGCAUUCAGACGUAAAUCGGCUUUUCUCGCUCAAUCGUCAGAUUUCAGUUCACGUUUACGUCUUGAUUUCAACUGCAUACUGCCUUCUGCGAGUAUACAAACAAGUUUCAAAGUUUAGACGUAAAUCUGCGUUUAGACGUAAAUCUGCGUUUAGACGUAAAACUACGUUUAGACGUAAAUCUGCGUUUAGACGUAAAACUGCGUUUAGACGUAAAACUGCGUUUAGACGUAAAACUGCGUUUAGACGUAAAUCUGCGUUUAGACGUAAAUCUGCGUUUAGACGUAAAUCUGCGUUUAGACGUAAAUCUGAGUUUAGACGCAAAACUGCACUUAGACGCAAAACUGCGCUUAGAUGCAAAACUGCGCUUAGAUGCAAAACUGCGCUUAGACGCAAAACUGCGCUUAAACGCAAUCUGCGCUUAGACGCAAACUGCACUUAGAUACAAACUGAGAAUUUGCUUUUGCAUCAUAAUAGUUUUUGAACGAACGCAGCUUUUGGUUCUUAAUCGCUGUAAGAUUUCCGCUGCACUAAUUCACCCCCCCCCCUCUUAGUGCUCUCGAUCCUA